rnacentral:rRNA from 1 species
AUUGAACGCUGGCGGCAUGCUUUACACAUGCAAGUCGAACGGUAACAGGCCGCAAGGUGCUGACGAGUGGCGAACGGGUGAGUAAUGCAUCGGAACGUGCCCAGUCGUGGGGGAUAACGCAGCGAAAGCUGUGCUAAUACCGCAUACGAUCUAUGGAUGAAAGCGGGGGACCGUAAGGCCUCGCGCGAGUGGAGUGGCCGAUGUCAGAUUAGGUAGUUGGUGGGGUAAAGGCCCACCAAGCCAACGAUCUGUAGCUGGUCUGAGAGGACGACCAGCCACACUGGGACUGAGACACGGCCCAGACUCCUACGGGAGGCAGCAGUGGGGAAUUUUGGACAAUGGGCGCAAGCCUGAUCCAGCAAUGCCGCGUGCAGGAAGAAGGCCUUCGGGUUGUAAACUGCUUUUGUACGGAACGAAACGGUCUGGGUUAAUACCCUGGGCUAAUGACGGUACCGUAAGAAUAAGCACCGGCUAACUACGUGCCAGCCGCCGCCGUAA